AGAGCACUCUAUUUAAUAUUUAUUAAGUUAUAGAAUUAAUCUAAAUAAACUUAUUAAUUAUGUUAUUACUUAAAACGAGUCUAAGUUCUAUCGAAAUUUCGGCAGCACCUCCCCUAAAAAUUGGACUAUCUACCUGCUCAAAUAUCACAAUAUUAUAUAUAUUUAUCAACCAAUGUACACAACCCAUCCGUCGGGCAAUCAACAAUUUAAGUCCCAUCCUCCUUUCAGUACAAGUAUGUCAACGUUCACUAAAUAAAUCUACAAAUUAUAAUAACCUCCAACAUGUUCCAAUGAUUUUAUUAAUUGUCCUCUAACUAAUUAUCAAAUAAAUGUACACUUUAUAAAUAGAACUU
rnacentral:lncRNA from 1 species